rnacentral:lncRNA from 1 species
GCACUUCCUCCAUUCUGACUAAGCACUCUACCAACUGAGCUGUGUCCUGUCCUGCACCUGGCAUUUUAUGUGGGAGAGACAUCUGAACUCUGGGCUUUGUGCUUUUGCUGCAGCACAUUACCCAGUCAUUUUACCAAUCUCUUGAAGUACCAUUUCUGCCUUCCCUUUCCUUUGGAACUUUCAGCCAUCCACCUGCUGGGGUGUACUGUGUCUAGUUCUCCCUUUCUAGGGUGUGACAGUGUUCGCACCUUAAGUUCAACACAUCAGGGUUGAAACACAUGGUGAUGAAAGACUGCUUUUAUUUUCUGAAUGUUUAGUUGCAUUGAUUUAGUGUAUAGUCAGAGGACAGCUUGGUGGGAGGGAGUUGGGUCUGUCCUUACCGUGAGAUGAGGGUCCUGGAGACUGAGCUAAGGUGGUCAGGCUCCCUGCCCUUGUCCCCCUUCCCUCCCCCUGUUGUCUUCUAAACCGGCAGAAUGUCUCCCCAUUAUGGUUAGUCAUACUUUUAUAUAUGAAUUUAGUUUAGAACCCAGGCAGUUUUCCAGUUUCACAGAGACAAUACAUUUUUUAUUACUGUCUAUUGAACUCACACAGUUUGUUUUUCCAUGGAGUGUGUGUGAGGCCUGUAGCUUUACUCAGAAACCAAUCCCAUGGUUCUUUGUUUAGCCUCACUUUUCUUUGUUGUUUGCUUGCUUUCUGUGUUUUGGGGUGGGGAUCUCAGUGAGGAGCCUAGGCUGUCAUAGAAGUCAGUAACCCAGCCCUUCUUUCUAGAAGGUGGAUGUUUUAUGUCACCCUGCCUCAGCUUGCAUUGCUGGGAUCAAAAGCAUGAGUCUGCAAGCCUGCUCAAAGGUUUUCAUUGAUUUCCUUUUAGGAAUUGCAUCCUAAUGCCUUUAUUUAUUUAUUUUAUGUAUAUGAGUGCUGUAUCUGCAUGCCUACAUGCCAGUAGAGGGCAACAGAUCCUAAUGAAGAUGUUUGUGAGCCAUCAUGUAGUUGCUGGAAAUUGAACUCAGGACCUCUGGAAAAGCAGACAGUGCUUUUAAUGGCUGACUUCUCUCUCUCCAGCCCCUAAAAAAGAUUUUAAUUAGAAAUGAACUUAGAAUAUAAACUUGGCAGUCAGAAUGCUGGGAUCUUACCCAUGGCUAUAUUAUUUAACAAUUUAUCUUGUCUCAGCUUUUUUUUUUUCUCAGUUGUAAAACAAGGAUAACUGUUGUGUUAGUAAGCUAGUGAGCUAUCUGCCAGAGCCACAAACUACUAUGAAAAUCAACUUAAAAAGAGAAAGGUUUAUUUGGGAAUUUUGGAGUUUUCAGCACGUGGUUAGUUGGCCUGUAGACUAAAAUGAUUAUUAAUAUGGCAAUUAUUCCUUAACCAGAUUUUCCCCAAAUAACCACACAGAGACCUUUUCAUAUUUAAAAGCUUAGGUCUUAUCUGGGCAGGCUUUCAUCUAAGUUAACUUGACCACCUAGCCCCAUCCAGCCAUGUGGCUAGCUAGCCAUACCUUCCAGGCCUGUGGUCACAUGGGUCUCCUCUCAUAACUCCUAGCAAAGGCUCUCCUCGUCCUAUCCAGGGUACUUUUCUUCCACUUCCUGCCCAGCUAAUUGGCCGUCAUAUUUUUUAUUAGCCAACAGUUUCUUGUAUAUAUUGAUUGCUUUGAUAAUAGUGUUUUGUCAUAGCACUGAAAAAGUAACUUCAGUCUAGGCAUCAUACCUUUUACACUUGGGAGGCUAGAGGACAGUUACCUACUAUAGCAGUUACCUCAUAAGAUUGCUGUGAGUAAUAUGAAUAUAUAUAUAUACACACACACACACGUAAAACAAACUCACUCAUUUAAUAAGCACCACGUGUUAGUUAAUGCUUUUCUUUCUUUCUUUCUUUCUUUUUUUUUUUUUUUUUUUGAGACAGGGUUUCUCUGUGUAGCCCUGGCUGUCCUGGAACUCACUCUGUAGAGCAGGCUGGCUUCGAACUCAGAAAUCCACCUGCCUCUGUCUCCCUGCAGAGAUUAAAGGCAUACGCCACUACUGCCCUACUAUUUUCUUAACUAGUAGAAAAAAUCCCCUUGCUUAUCUUUCAUCACUCUAUCUCAUACAUUUGGACAUUAGGGAUUUUUGUUUGUCUUGUUUUUAGUUUGUUUUUUUAUUUUUUUAAUUUUAGUUGCUGAUCUUGACAUUAUAGAUUGAUUGAUAUAGUG